GCACCGGCUAACUCCGUGCCAGCAGCCGCGGUAAGUACGGAGGGUGCGAGCGUUAAUCGGAAUUACUGGGCGUAAAGCGCAUGCAGGUGGUUUGUUAAGUUAGAUGUGAAAGACCCGGGCGUCAACCUCGGAAUUGCAUUUGUAAACUGGCAGACUAGAGUACUGUAGAGGGGGGUAGGAAUUUCAGGUGUAGCGGUGAAAUGCGUAGAGAUCUGAAGGAAUACCGGUGGCGAAGGCGGCCCCCUGGACAGAUACUGACACUCAGAUGCGAAAGCGUGGGGAGCAAACAGGAUUAGAUACCCUGGUAG
rnacentral:rRNA from 1 species